rnacentral:snRNA from 1 species
AUACUUACUUGGCAGGGGAGGUACCAUGAUCAUGAAGGUGGUUUUCCCAGGUUGAGGCUCACCCAUUGCAUUUCAGGUAUGCUGAUCCCUAUGAUUUCCCCAAAUGUGGGAAACUUGACUGCAUAAUUUGUGAUAGUGGGGGACUGUGUUUGUGCUUUCCCAUG